rnacentral:rRNA from 1 species
AUACGUAGGUGGCGAGCGUUGUCCGGAUUUACUGGGCGUAAAGGGAGCGUAGGCGGAUUUUUAAGUGAGAUGUGAAAUACUCGGGCUUAACCUGAGUGCUGCAUUUCAAACUGGAAGUCUAGAGUGCAGGAGAGGAGAAGGGAAUUCCUAGUGUAGCGGUGAAAUGCGUAGAGAUUAGGAAGAACACCAGUGGCGAAGGCGGCUUGCUGGACUGUUACUGACACUGAGGCUCGAAAGCGUGGGGAGC